GACGAACGCUGGCGGCGUGCCUAAUACAUGCAAGUCGAACGAGAUCCAAGGGAGCUUGCUCCCUGAAGAUCGAGUGGCGAACGGGUGAGUAACACGUGAGAAACCUGUCCCGGACUCUGGGAUAACUCGGGGAAACCCGAGCUAAUACCGGAUACCCCCGGUGGAUCGCAUGAUCCGCCGAGGAAAGUUUUUCGGUCUGGGAGGGUCUCGCGGCCUAUCAGCUUGUUGGUGAGGUAACGGCUCACCAAGGCAACGACGGGUAGCUGGUCUGAGAGGACGAUCAGCCACACUGGGACUGAGACACGGCCCAGACUCCUACGGGAGGCAGCAGUAGGGAAUCUUGCGCAAUGGGCGAAAGACCUGACGCAGCAACGCCGCGUGCGGGAAGACGGCCCUCCGGGUUGUAAACCGCUUUCAGCAGGGACGAAAUUGACGGUACCUGCAGAAGAAGGUCCGGCUAACUACGUG
rnacentral:rRNA from 1 species